rnacentral:rRNA from 1 species
ACUUUAUUUGAUUUCCUUCGGGACUGAUUAUUUGUGACUGAGUGGCGGACGGGUGAGUAACGCGUGGGUAACCUGCCUUGUACAGGGGGAUAACAGUUGGAAACGACUGCUAAUACCGCAUAAGCCCACGGCCCGGCAUCGGGCUGAGGGAAAAGGAUUUAUUCGCUUCAGGAUGGACUCGCGUCCAAUUAGCUAGUUGGUGAGGUAACGGCCCACCAAGGCGACGAUCAGUAGCCGGACUGAGAGGUUGAACGGCCACAUUGGGACUGAGAUACGGCCCAGACUCC